rnacentral:lncRNA from 1 species
GCUGCUUCUGACAAACUAUUUGUAGGAAAAUGAGAUUUGGUCGGUGCUGGAUGGCUCCUCUGGGAGGCAGGCGUGGGGGUCGGUGUCGGAGUCCCCGUGCGGGCCCUGCCGGAGCCCACCGCGCUUACGGAGCUCUUUAAGAUAAAUGAGCAAAAUUAAGAGACUCACUGGGGGAAGGAAGCCCUGGAUGGCGGCGCGAGAGCGGAUGGCGCACGCUUCCUCCCGGGAAGGCAUCCACGUGCACCCCGCGGGGCCGCCCCAUCUGCCGCGGACUCCGGGGACGCCGGCCCCAGAAGAGCCUCGAGCAGGGCGCGGCGCUCCCUGCCCCCGACGGGCGCGACCAGGGCAGAGACCUCGAGUAAGGCGCACGCAACAGAUGGGUGGCGCAGCAGGUCCUGGAGGUGGCCUGCAGGAGGCCGCACUGCGCAGGCGGUUGGGAAGGCUGAGCGCCCAGUGGGUGGGGGUCCAGGGCGUGGCGGAGGGAGGGUGGACGCCGGGCAGCCCGGUCCCCGAGGCCAGACUGCUUUAGCUUCCCUGGUCCCGUGGGACCGCGGUAGAUCUCGAACCCACUUGCAGGCUCCCCAGGGGUUCAGGAGGCAGCACCGACUCCAGCCUGGGCUCAGGAAGCCUCAGGCCCUGCUCAGCCCAGGUUGAACUCCUCUGACAAUUCUGAAGUUCACAGAGAUGAGCAAACCGAAGAAAAUAAAGGGGUUGGAGUGCAGCUCAGGAGUAGAGUCGUCCUCAGCAUGCCCGAGGCCCUGGGUUCCAUCCCCAGUACUGUAUAAAGAAAAAAAAAUCACCUGUUAUUCUGCUGCUGAUAUCUUGAUAUUUAUUCUAAGUCUCAAAAGACAUAUAUAUUUAAAGUCAUGAUCAUAUUAUAAACAUUUUGAUAUGUUUUAGUUUCUUGGCAUUAUAUUGUAAAUACCUUUUACAAAUCAUUUUAAAUACUUCUUUGAAAACAAUUUUAAAUAAGUGUGGCAUUUUAUUGUUAUAUGUUCCACAAAUUAUUUUUAACAAGGCACAUAUUUUGUUCAUCUUGAUUGUUUCUAAAAUUUUGCUAUAAUAAAGAUGUGUAAACUUAGCCUUUGCCAAAUCAUUCCAUUUUCAUCACAGUCAGUGACAUAAACAGUGAUUUCUGCUUCUCCCUGGCUUCCUAAGGAUAAGAUGUGGCAUUUUGAAUAGAGUAGUUGACAAUCUGAAUUCCAAGCCUGGACCAGCCUUUCUAGAACUUUGUAUGCUUUCAAAGACCUCCCUGAUCUGCAAGAUCGGCAAUCUGAGAAUGUUCUGGAAGUAAAGGAUGUGCUUUGAGAAUGAAAAGAGAUAGUCUUUGAAGAAAAUGGUUACUCAUUUUGAUUCUUUGUAAGACAUUUACACCUAAAAUGUGUGCCAAAUUGUAAGAAAAGGUGGUCUUGCCUCUGACUGGUGUCAUGUUCUGUGGUGACGCUGAUUUCAGAGAGUAUUAAAAUGGGAAACUUGAAAGUGGUGGGAUCAUGGCAAAAUUUCAGUAUGAAG